UCCUGAGCCAGUUAACGUAGAGCUGGUACAUUGCUGUCUUCACUGGAGUGCUGCAAGCUCGAAGUGUGGCUGCAGCACUUCUCGCUCGUAACGUGAAACUUAAAAACACGCCAAGGAGUGGAUGCAAGUGAACUAUCAAUCUACUGAAACAGAAGCGGGAAAUGUAUUCGAAGACGAAAAUGCUCGCGCGACCUGUGCGUCAGACCCGGAUAAACGCACGCGAGCUGACAAAAUCCUGAGUAGCUGUUAUUCAACAUAAACACAUUUCCGCACACAUGAAGAUGGAUGACGAUAGUUCAUCUUAAAAUGAAACUUAUGUUUAUCAGCCCCAGGCCAUCCAAGAGAUGCUCUUAAGAACAACGCCCUGAUGUCCAAGGUCAACCAGCAAGAAGCUGAGAAGGCACUGCCAAAAUGGUUUACUGGGGCAAGGGACAGAGGAGGACAGAGAGCAUCAAGAAUGCAGAAAAGGAUGUCUGUUUGAGAAAGGUUAAAACUACAGUUGUUGAUUUGAACUGUUGUAGUUCUUUAAUUUUUCUUAAAGGAAAACACAAUCAUUUUUCAAUAUUUACCAUGUUCUUCCCUCAACUUAGAUGAAUUAAUACAAACCUCUCUUUUCUCAAUGUGUGCACUUAAAGGUGGGGUGCACAAUUUCUAAAAAAAAAACGUUUUGGAAAAGGGAGACAGGCCGACUAUCAAAACACACUUGUAGCCAAUUAGCAGCAUGUCUACUAAAUGACAUCGUUGCCUGGGUUGCGUAUGUGUGGGGCGGGUCUAUCAAAAGAAGGUCCAGAUUCUAUUAGGGUAAGGGUGUGUUUGUUUAGAUGAUUUCAAAUAUCAACAUUGGCUUUCAUGCACCCUGCCUUUAUUUGUUGUAAAGUGUGGCGUGAAUGUGUUAGCAUUUAGCCAAGCACCAUUCAUUCAUUAGGAUCCAAACAGGGAUGAAUUUAAUAGCCACCAAACACUUCCAUGUUUUCCCUAUUCAAAGACUGUUACAUGAGUAGUUACACGAGGAAGUAUGGUAAAAAAUAUAACUAUAUUGUAUGGCGGAAGAGCACUUAGUUUGUAGCACUCGACCUUGGGCACAGUAACAUCAUCACUCCUGACUACUCCCCCUCUUGCUUAAACUACAGUCAACAUAACCAACAUGCCUGUACUAAUGUUAGUACAUUGAGCAGACUCUGCGAAAUAUCAAGUUAAGUUUAAGUGUACGCAUUGAGAAAAGAGAGAUAUGUAUUUAUUCGGCUAAGUUGAUGGAAGAACAUAGUAAAAUAUUGAAAAACUGUGUUUGUAAUUAUCUUACUUUCAUUUACUUUUAAGGGCCCCAUUUCAAUAAUUUUUUAAAGGGGCCAUGGCAUGAAAAUCUGACUUUUUCCAUGUUUAAGUACUACAAUUGGGUCCCCAGUGCUUCUAUCAACCUAGAAAAUGUGAAAAAGAUCAACCCAGUAACUUCCAUUCUCUGCAAGCAUGUGAAAAAAUAGGUAGUUGAAAUUUGGCUCUCCUUAUGAUGUCAGAAGGAGCUCUUAUUAUAAUAAUACCACACCUUAAUCUGCACUAUCCAACCACAGCACUGCCAUUUAGUGCAGAGAGGGAGAGACAGAGAAAAAAAUUCACAGCACAAUUAAGUUUCAAUUUCAACAAACCACCAUCAUUGUUAUCAGUGUUUGAAUUUCAUCAGCUCAUUUGCAUUUUAAAGUAGGGAUGCACCGAAAUGAAAAUUCUUGGCCAAAACCGAAAACC